UACAGAGGUCUCAAGCGUUGUUCGGAUUCAUUGGGCGUAAAGGGUGUGCAGGUGGCGCCGUAAGUCGGGUGUGAAAUUUCGGAGCUUAACUCCGAAACUGCAUUCGAUACUGCGGUGCUUGAGGACUGGAGAGGAGACUGGAAUUCAUGGUGUAGCAGUGAAAUGCGUAGAGAUCAUGAGGAAGACCAGUGGCGAAGGCGGGUCUCUGGACAGUUCCUGACACUGAGACACGAAGGCCAGGGGAGCGAACGGG
rnacentral:rRNA from 1 species